rnacentral:rRNA from 1 species
CGCGUAGGCGGCUCUAUAAGUCAGAUGUGAAAGCCCUGGGCUUAACCCAGGAAGUGCAUUUGAAACUAUAGGGCUUGAGUAUGGGAGAGGGAAGUGGAAUUCCUGGUGUAGAGGUGAAAUUCGUAGAUAUCAGGAGGAACACCGGUGGCGAAGGCGACUUCCUGGACCAAUACUGACGCUGAGGCGCGAAGGCGUGGGGAGCAAACAGGAUUAGACACCCUGGUAGUCC